AAAAAAAAUAUUAAAGAUGUGAGCGUGAGCGUUUAUUUAAAACGGAAUUUUCCGUUUUGGAAUGAGAUGUGCAUUGUGUAUUUGUCUUUAAUAAGUAUGUGAUUAUAAGGCUUAUGACCAUCUACAAUAGUAUUACCUUAUAAAAAUCACUGCGAGUGUUUUGAUGUGUUAGUCAUCUGUGAAAUUUUGAUAUGAUGAGUAUUAAAAUGCCUGUUGAAUAAAGCAAGUGGAUCAUUCCUUUGUGACUCAUAUUAUUGCAGGUAAGUUUUAUUAUUAUUAUCUUCUUUCCUCUUGGAAGUCUUGAAGAAACUGAAUAAGAGAAUCCAGAGUUUUUAGGUAAGUCUUGUUCAUAAAUUUUUAAUGAUAAUUUAUCAAAAAAAAAAAAAUAGUUAUCGUUCUAUUUAACCUUGAAACUUUGGUCACUCUGUUAUCCUAUUAAGAAAUUUUAGCAAGCAGUUUUGCUUAUUAAGUAGCAUUAUACUGAACUAAUCCCAAUUAAUAUCUGCAGCAAAUUAUAUGCUGUUUUCUAUAUAUAUUUAUUUAUAAGUUAAAGUUUAUGACAGGCAGUUAAAAGUGCAAAAUAAUUGCUAUUUCACUCAGCCUAUCUGAAGCAUUUUCAUUCGAAAAAAUUUGAAGAAUGUCUAUUUUUUUAUUUUAAAUUUUUGUUGUAAUCUGAUAUAUUGUUCAUUCUGCUACUGAGCAUUUCUACUUUGCAAAAUUAAAAUAUAGGUAUUGCAAGAAAAUUAUUUAAUACUGAUUUUUUUUAUUAAUUUUAAAAUCUAGGGCAUAAAAUUUAAAGUUAGUUGAUAGCAUGUGUUUCCAAAUAUACAAAACUUUUACCAAAGUACCUAGUCAAUUUAAUAUUUUUAUGACAAAAAUUGAUUCUUUUAAUUAAACUUUGUUGAAACUCUUCAUAAGAACCCAAAAUUAUUUACGAAAAUGGCAAUCUGUCAAUAGCAGAUUAAAAUAAGCUAAAAACAGGACUGAAACUUUACUGCUCAUUUUAUCUAUUUUCUUAUGUUCAAAACUAUAAAAUAACUCUGUUAUAGACAGGUCUAUUAAUAAACAUACCUUUCAUAAAAAAAUAUUUUGUUCAUAAGAACAACACAAUUUUACAUGUUCAUGAUUUGUCAUCCCUUUCCUAUUAUAUCAAAUAAUGAUAAUGUUUUUCCUCCGUCUUUUUUAUUUUGAAGAUGUUUUAAAAACAUUAUUGAAUUGUUUUUUUGUUUUUUUUUUAAUGUCUUCAUUUUGUAAUACUCUGCGAUAUAUUAUGUUCUGAAAGAUAUUCAGGAAUUACCAUGUCCUUAUUGAUGUAGAAGAAAUAAAACUUUCUUACUUUCUUUAACUCCUCCCAUAUUUUUCCGUUGCUGCUAUUUUUUUAUGGUAGUUACUUUGAACAAAUGAGAAGCUCUAAAAUAAGUAAUCGGGUGAAUUUCAUUGCAUAAAAAUUGUCCUAUUAAUAAGGAAAAUAAUUGUCAUUUAAAUCUAAAAUUCCCCUAAAAAAUGUAUUAUAUAAAAAAAUGUUUAAUUGAAACUUCUGUGUAUCAACUUUAUGAAACAAAUUAAAAUUAAUAUCUGUUCUUGAUAUAUUAAGCAUUUGAUAUUUCCAAAGCUGGUUAAGGAUUAGAUAUUUAAAUUAUUUUGUUUCUUAAAAUAAUAAUUUUGAAAAAUGGUAAAGCAAAAUAUUGUAGAAACUUUAUAACUUUAUUUAUUUUUUAAUGUAUGUUUCACAAAAUUUAAACAAAUAAAUAAUAUGACUUCAUUUUAUUUAUUAAUUUGCAACCUGAAGAACUUGAACAUGAAUGCCAAUUUCUCUCAUUCAAAUGAAGUAAAUCUUCUGAUUUCGGAACUGGUGUCAUAAUUUGUUCUAUGUUAAAAUUUUUAUUUUAUGAGGCAUACUUUCAAUAAUACAUUUAUAUUUGCACAGAUCAUGUAGAACAGAAAGGAGAGAAAACAAAGUUUUAAUUUAUUAAAGUAGUGUGACUGCUUCAUUGAUCAUUUCUUUUCUAAAAAUUUAUAUCAAGUUUGCAUUAUUCUUGUAUUUUGCAAGAUAAAAGCUAUGCUCUUUUUUCAAAAUAUCCCAAAACUUAAUUUUAUUUGUAAUAGAAUCAUGAAACAUAUUCAUUAAAAUUAAAUAUUAAUAUUCAAUUAAAAUUUAUAAAAUGAAAUUUGUGAGUUCUAGUGAUUUGUUUAUACUUGAAAGAUUAUUCAUACUGUUUGUGUUAAACUGUACAAAGUAUUUUAAAGGAGGGCUUUUAUUUAUCUUAUAACUUUGGAAAUAAUUAUUUCUAUAUUUCUUUUAAAUUUGUUGUGAGUAUUACAGAAGAUAAAUCUUCCCAUAUAUUAUGGUUUUUGUCUUAGCAGUCUUGGUUAUUAAAAGUUCCUAUAAUAUAUAUAUGUGUGUGUGUGUGUUUAGAUUUCAUAAGCAUCAUUAUAUUUAGUUUCAUAUAUCCAAAAGCCUACUUAUUAUUUAUAAUGUUUUUUUUUUUUUUUUCCUUCCCUUGCAGUGAAAUAAAAUUGCAAUAUUUUACAUUCAUGGUCAUUUAUAUCACAUUCAUUCAUAUUAUUUAUUUGUUAAAUCUUAAUAUUUUUGGUAAAUUUCUCUGCAGUUAUAAAUUAUUACUGCAAUAAUAUUUAAAUUAUAAACUUAAUUAUAUAUAUCUGUGUAUAAAACAUGAUUUGAAGAAGCAGUCACUUAAUUCUAACACUUUUUAUUUUUUAUAUUUUCACUGAGAAAAUCUAGUUCAACUUUGUCAAGAUGUCUGUCCAAGCCAUGGCAAGAACAGUGUAGCAAACCUAAUUGAAAGGUAGAAAGCAAGGAAAAAUGCGACUUUGAAAAAGUAUUCUGAGCUAUUAUAUAGUUCUAGAAAGAAAUCUGUCAAUUAAACAUUUUAGUUGUUUCGAAAAAUGAAUAACCAAACAAAGUUACUGUGAAGCUGGAUGUCGAUUAGAAAAUUAUGUUUAGAACAUAGCUAAUUUGAAAUAAUAUAUUUCAUGUUUAUUAUACUUUCAUUUUAGAUCUCUUUUCUUAUGUAUUUGUCUCUUUUUCAAUGAAAGAGAAAAUAUUUUCAUCUUUCAUGAUCAAGCUUUUGUCAAGGCAUUUAUUCAAUGUGUUUGGAUUGAAGUAAAUCCAAGUUGCAUCCCAAAUUAAAGUACAAAAAAUAAUAUGGAAAGAAAAUUUGCUUGAUAAAAUAAGAUGGAGAAAAGAUGAUUUAGAAGGAGAAAUUGAAUGGACAUUGUGUGUGUGUGUAUAUAUAUUUGCUAUUGUAUAAUAUUGUAAUGUAUUGUAUAAUAUUGUAUUGUAUAAUAUUGUAUUGUAUAUUGUAUAAUAUUUGCUAUUGAGCAAAGAAUUUGUAAUUGCGUAAUUUAAAUACUUGAAAUUGUAACAAGAAAUCAAUAAGUGUUACUUAUCAUUAAAGAAUGAAUAAAUGUAAGAAUUUCUUUUGUUGAAAUUCAUUUAUUUAUUCUUAUAUAAGCUGAACUCUAUUGUUAGCAAAUGUUUUCGAAUUACUUUAACUUUUUUUUCCCCCUGCCAAUUUACUGUUGUGGUAAAAUGAAGAUUCAGGAGGGGAAAUAGUAAGUUGGAUGAACACUGUGAAGUACUGCUAAACCUCUCUAUGGUGAUCACUCUCCAUUCAAGCUAAAAUUGAUCAUACAGAGGUGUUGGCCAUUACUUAAAGCUUUUCGUUUUUGGAAGAUAAAAGGCUUAUUAAAACAUAUCUAAUUAUUUAUUACAGAAUGAAUUUUACUUGUUUUUUUAAAGGAUAUAAUCUGUUUGCUUGAAUAUUCUAAUUUUUUGAGGAAUAAUUUAUUUCUUUUAAGGGUGGGAAUAAAUUUCCUCCUCAAAUAAUUGUUUGUGGAGGAAAGAGUGAUAAUAUUAUCUUUUCGCAAAAAUUUUUAAAUAAAUAAUGCAAGAUUUUAUUUGUGUUAUGCAGUUGAAUUUAGUUGGUGUUUUUUCGAUAAUUGUGUGGAUAAAUUUUUUAUAUGUCAGUCUAAAUUCUGAAUACACAAGUUCACAUGUUUUGUUCAGAGAACAAAAGCUUAUGCUUGUGCUGAAAAUGGCUUCUUGCUUUGUAUUUAGAAAUUAUGGCUGCUUGAAUUGCCCCUUUUGGUAGAGAACAAGGUUCAUUUUUCUCUAUUCUUUAGAAAAAGAGAUAAAAAAUUUUUGUGCUUUUCAUGUUUAUUUGCUUUUUUUUUUUUUUUUUUUUUCCUCUUUUAUUUUUGUUAAUGAAAAGCCUGAGAUUAAGAAGUCAGAAGGAAUGGAUUUCAUUGUAUAUGUAGCUAUUUCUGCCAUUUGGAGAAUUGGAAUGGCUUUUUGUAGGGUUAUUUUAAUAUUAUGUUUUUGGGGGCAAAAAUUCUGUUUAAAAAAAAAAGUGGCUAUUGUGAAUGAUAGCCAUUUAGAAAAAUUUUGCUCUCAAAUUUGCAGGUUAUUAUUGUAUUGUAUGUAUAUUGUUUACUUUAUUGUGUUUGAAUUUUUGAAAACUGUAGUGAAUAUUGAUAAAGUUCAAAGGACUAUAACAAUUUCCUUUUCUUUUUUAAAUAUGUUUUCGAUAUGCAGUUAACUGUUUAUUAUUUGCUAUUGUUUUCGAAUAAUUCUUUUAAGUUUUU